AGUCUGAAGGCAGCUGAGUCCACGAGCGCAGGAACCGCGCGGCCGAGGCUUCGCCUUCCGGGUCCAUAACCGCGCGGGAAGCCCAGACGCCAGGUCCUGAGGCAGCGUGGCGUGACGUCACGGCGCUGCGUCUUCCCGCGUCAUCUCCGCGUCCUGUCUCCACGCGGCCUUCGUCUCGCGGCGUGGCGAGGGUUCUGCUGCGGUGGCCGUGUAACCAAGGCCGAGGUAGUUCACUUCGCUGGAGGAUGAGUCCUGGCAGGUCAUCCCCUUGCCCCUGCUGAGCAUAAGCCACCUGCCCGGCACAUGAGGUCGUCCUGAACACGCAGUCCCAGGGUGACCUGCCAGCUGACUGCCGACACAUAAACGACCGCAGCUGAGAUCAGCAGAACCCAGCAGACUGGCUGACCCACAGACUUCCUGAUACGAUUGUGUCUUGGAGGCACUGAGGAAUGGAGCCAGCAGACGAGUACAGAGCAGCCAGCAAAGCUUUUAAUAAGGAGUGAAAAGAAGAAGGGGUUCUGCAGCUUCUUCAAGGGAGGAAGUUCCACCCCAUGGACCUAAGAGACAACUGAACUGGGAAUGAUGCCGUCACAGCUCACUCCUGCCAGCUGAAGGUUUGCUGCUUCACUUGCAUGGGGAAUACCAGUCAGAGCUGAGGUCUAAGUCUAAGUAUAGCUUUGAAUGGCUGAGUAGGCUUGGAAGCCUUUUGAAACUUACAGGGCCCUGAAACUCACCAGGGCCUUGAAGGCUGUCUGCUGAAGCCCCACCAUCACCUGCCUCGGUGCCCCUCGGAAGAGGUAACCCUAACUACCCUUAGGAACAAGGGUGAUGGCCGGGUUCACUGUCUGAGGGGCCUAUCCCAUGGGCCGUGACAGACUGUCACACUGGGUUCCAUUUGCAUCACCAUUUGUAGCUUGAUGCUUUCGAGGCAGGAAGAAACAAAUCUUGUUAGUAGAUUUAGGAUACAGGGGCCAAAGAUUAUGAGAAGGAUAAUUAUAAUGAGGGGUCCUAAAAAUGGUACAACUCACAGGAUCCACUUCAUUAGAUUGGACGAGGGCUCCCAAGAGCCUUCGGUCUCACAGCAUAGUUUGUCUGCCUGAUCUUGUCGUUUUUUAUCUCAUUGAUGCCAGAUUGAUUGAUGUAGAAACAACAUUCUUGGAGAAAAUGGCAAAGACCUCCUCUCUCUGCUGUGAGGAGGUCCAGACCAUGCCUGUUUGGGGGAUGACUCCCACCAGGUGGUCAGUCUGGUUCUGAAGCAUUGAGAGGUCUUAAGUGUCUGUAAGCUCUUGAGAGAAUCUUUGGAAGAACAGAGCAGAUGAUGUGGUUAUUUUUGCAACUCUGCAACUCUGGUGCCUACGGCUGUGGAGACACUGUGGCUGGAGGUGGCUGUCACCUAUGAAGAGACUUCAGGUCCCCUAUGGGCUCACAGGAAUAAUGGGGCAGGGAGGAGUCCUCCUCACUCAGAGGGGGGCUCGUUUUUUCAGACACCCAGGGCUUCAGUCAGGGGUAAGACUCAUGUCCUGUUACUUUUGCUGCAGUGGGAGUGGAGGGUUAUUUUAUGUGGUCCUUCCCUGACCAGGGCGAGAGAAAGACUGGUAGAGGGCACUGCGUUAACUAAGUCUGGCUGGAAGAGAGGCGCCCCGGCCAGUUCCUGAAGGGUUUGUAGGAAUCGGGCCAGGGAGGUGACUCGCCUUACUCGGGCAGCUGUCUCCGUGUCGAGGAGGAAGUCCUUGGUCUGGGAAGGCCGGAUGUACAGCAGCUGAAAGGGACUGAGGCCCGAUUGCUGAGCGGUGUUUCUGGCCACUCGUGGGAAGGAGGGCAACCCAGGGGAGACUGCCCCCUGGAGUGAGCUGCUUCAGGAGUUGCUCCGGGACCCCAUCUGCUCUCAGCACCUUGCCCAAGGACUGGGCUCUCCAGGAGCAGUGGAGGUGGCACUGUAUUCCCGGAGCUGAGGACACGCCCUGAGCUACUGCGGCUUUGCAGGCGGCUCGUUACCACGCUGCAGGCUCUUGGGCAGUCCCAGCUGGGGAAUAGUGUUCAGCUUCCAUGUGUUGGUAGGCUUUUUGUUUUCUUUGUAUAACUUCUUUCUAGUUUCAUACCAUGGUGGCCCAAGAAGCUGCUUGAUACCAUUUUGAUCUUUUUGAGUCCUAGUACGUGAUCUGUUCUGGAGAAUGUUCUACGUACACUUGAGAAAACAUGUGCCUCCUGCUGCUUUUUUGUGGCAUGUUUUGUAGACACGUUAGGUCCGUCUUAUCUAAUGUGUUCUUCAGUGCCUCUGUUUAUUUUCUGUCUCGUUGAUCUAUUGAUGUGAGUGGUGUGUUAAAGUCUCCUAAAAUGAAUGUGUCACGAUCUAUUAUUUCCCCCUUUAGUUCUGCACUAUUUGUUUAACAUAUUUAGGUGCUCCUAUGUUGGGUGUAUAUAUUUUUUAUCAUGGUUAUAUCCUCUUGUUCAACUGACCUGUUUAUCAUUAUGUAAUGUCCUCCUUUGUCUCGUUACUGUCUUUUUGUUCUGAAAUCUAUUUUGUCUGAUACAAGUACAAAACUCCUGCUUUUUUCUAUUAUUUGCACAGCUUAUCUUUUUCCAUCCCUUCAUUUUUAGUCUGUGUAUGUCUUUGGGUCUGAAAUGCGUCAUCUCCUGUAGGCAGCAUACAGAUGGGCCUUGCCUUGUCUUUCUAUCCAUUCUGUAACUCUGUGUCUCCUGAUUGGUCCAUUUAGGGUGAUUAUCGAUAGACAUGUACUUAUUGCCAUUUUAUUACUUGUUUUCUGGCAGUUUGUCAGUCUGUUCCUUUAUUCCUCUCUUACACUCUUUGCUUGUUACUGAUGGUGCUCUUUAGUGUUGUAAUGGGAUUUUUCCUUUUACUGAUAUAUUUUUUAGUGGGUGUAUUUAUUGUAGGCUUCAAAGGUUUGAGGACAGCUUUGCUAUAUAUAAUAAUGAUGUAUCUUAAAUUGCUGAUUAUUCAAACACAAUCUGAAGGUACAUUUUCCCCCAUCCUUCCUCUUUCUCCACAUUUUUUGUAUUAGAUGUCAUAAUCUACACUUUUUGUGUAUCUCUUGGCUGACUUUUGUGUAUAGUUGAUUUUACUUGUUUUUUGUUUUGUUUGAAUUUCAUACUUGCUUGCUACUUAGUUGGUUUACUAUCUUUACUAUGGGUUUCUUUUCAAUGGUGAAAGCUGCUUAGACUUAGGGGCAUUUGCACCAACAGCAGUUUCUUUAAUAUCUCCUGUAAGGCUGGCUUAGUGACAGUGAAUUCCUUCGCCUCGUGUUUAUCUGGAAGCUGAUACCUGCUCCAAAUGUAAACGGUACUCACACUGGGUGGAGGAUUCUUGGUCGGCGGGCCUUGUGUUUGGUGCCUUGGCUACAUCGUGCAGGGGCCUGUGGCGUUUCUGCUGGUAGCCUGAGGGGAUUUCUUUUAUAAGUAAUCUUUUUUGUCUGGCUCCUUUCAGCACUCUCUCCUUAUCCUUGAUCUUUGACAUUUUAAUUAUCAUAUGUCUCGGUGUUCUCUUCUUGGGGUUCCUUUUGUUAGGGCUCUGUGGGCCUCUAUGACCUGAGUGUGUAUUUCCUUCCCCAGAUUGUGGAAGUCUUCA